AGAAGCAGCUUCGCCAGACAGCCGCAACGUACAUGUUGACUGCCCGAGGCGGAAGUCGAUCGGCAGAGCGGAAGGGGGACCUGCAGAGGACCUUCCGACAGGUUGGUCAGACCAUGCCCAUGGUUCCUCCUCUCGACUUCACUAUGAAUGCCGCAUCUGUUGAAUGAAUGCAGUUUCUGCUCUUGCUUUUGGAUAGAAGUGAUUGCAAAUCUUAUCAAAAUAAUGAAAAAAAUUACUUUUCAAUUCCUUUUCAACCCUUUUGAGUCUGAGGGGCAGCUGUACAUUAAAUGAAACCAUAUGUAUCAUAAUUUCAUUUUUCCAUCAAAAGAGCUUUAAAGGAAAUUCCCCUUUUUCUCCAUGUUUUCAAUAUUUUUUGUUCCUUUUGUUAAAAUCAGAUUAAUCUCAUGAAACAUCUGAAGCAUUUAAGUCAAUUUAAGAGCUGAGAAAAUAUCAUGCUGCUAGUUCUGAAACGAUCUGAAGUGUGAAUCAGGUGAUCACCAAAUAGGGGAACAACUGAAAAAUGUGAAUGAAAGAAGUAUGUACCUAUACUAUAGUGUCAAAUAUUGUACUGUAAGCUUUAAAAUGAUAAAUUGGAAACUUUCCAAAA